GACGAAUGCUGGCGGCGUGCUUAACACAUGCAAGUCGAACGGAAAGGCCCUGCUUUUGUGGUGUGCUCGAGUGGCGAACGGGUGAGUAACACGUGAGUAACCUGCCCUUGACUUUGGGAUAACUUCAGGAAACUGGGGCUAAUACCGGAUAGGAGCUCCUGCUGCAUGGUGGGGGUUGGAAAGUUUCGGCGGUUGGGGAUGGACUCGCGGCUUAUCAGCUUGUUGGUGGGGUAGUGGCUUACCAAGGCUUUGACGGGUCGCCGGCCUGAGAGGGUGACCGGCCACAUUGGGACUGAGAUACGGCCCAGACUCCUACGGGAGGCAGCAGUGGGGAAUAUUGCACAAUGGGCGGAAGCCUGAUGCAGCAACGCCGCGUGCGGGAUGACGGCCUUCGGGUUGUAAACCGCUUUCGCCUGUGACGAAGCGUGAGUGACGGUAAUGGGUAAAGAAGCACCGGCUAACUACGUG
rnacentral:rRNA from 1 species